AUGGCUACGAAGAAAUAUUUCUUCCACUAUAAAUCCUUCACCAUUAAAGACAAAUCGGUGAUUAGGUUCUGCGAGGAUAAGUGGCUAGGCAAUGCCACUCUCCGGAAACAAUAUUCUGGCCUAUACAAUAUUGUGCGUCACAAGGGUGAUACUAUCGCUCUGGUUAUGGAAUCCUUUCCGCCGAACGUGAUGUUCAGGAGAGAUUUAAUUGGUCCUAGACUUGAAUCGUGGAACACUUUGGUACAACGCCUAUCCACGGUGCAAUUGUCGCAAGGGACCGAUGUAUUUCGUUGGAACCUCCACGCGAGUGGUAAUUUCUCUAUGGAGUCCAUGUAUAGAGCACUAAUCCAGUCAGAUGUACCAGUUGAUAAUAAUAAAAUGUUUUUGAAGAUGAAGAUACCACUCAAGAAUAAAUCAUUGUGUGAUAUCUUCGUCGAGGAGUCAUUCUUAUCAAAGAGAACCUUAUUAAGAGGAAUUGCCAUGGAAGUGUACAAUGUGUUUUUUUCACCAUGA
rnacentral:rRNA from 1 species